UUGUCGAAAAACGACGAUUAGGACAUGUGAUUGUGAAAGCGAAAGUAGAACACGCGAGAGACCGCACGAGUCGGGGAAAACUUACUGUUCACAGAAACCCAAAGGCACAGUAGAUUGUCCCUGUUUGGUUUUUAAUUAUUAUUAAAGAGCUGAGUUUUGCAAAAGUAAAACAACAGAAGAAAUGUUGGAAUAUGUAUAACCAAUGUAAAGAAUAUUCUGAUACUACAACAGAAAGAAAUAGAAG